UGUACCUACGGGGGGCAGCAGUGGGGAAUAUUGCACAAUGGGGGGAACCCUGAUGCAGCGACGCCGCGUGAGCGAUGAAGUAUUUCGGUAUGUAAAGCUCUAUCAGCAGGGAAGAAAAUGACGGUACCUGACUAAGAAGCCCCGGCUAACUACGUGCCAGCAGCCGCGGUAAUACGUAGGGGGCAAGCGUUAUCCGGAUUUAUUGGGUUUAAAGGGUGCGCAGGCGGUCUGUUAAGUCAGCGGUCAAAGCCCGGGGCUCAACCCCGGCCCGCCGUUGAAACUGGCAGUCUCGAGUUGGAGAGAAG
rnacentral:rRNA from 1 species